rnacentral:rRNA from 1 species
AGAGUUUGAUCCUGGCUCAGGAUGAACGCUAGCUACAGGCUUAACACAUGCAAGUCGAGGGGCAGCAUUAUCGAAGCUUGCUUUGAUAGAUGGCGACCGGCGCACGGGUGAGUAACGCGUAUCCAACCUUCCCUAUAGUAGAGAAUAGCCCGGCGAAAGUCGGAUUAAUGCUCUAUGUUGUAUUUAGAGGACAUCUGAAGAAUACCAAAGGUUUACCGCUAUAGGAUGGGGAUGCGUCUGAUUAGGUAGUAGGCGGGGUAACGGCCCACCUAGCCGACGAUCAGUAGGGGUUCUGAGAGGAAGGUCCCCCACAUUGGAACUGAGCCAUGAUCAAACUC